rnacentral:rRNA from 1 species
GACGAACGCUGGCGGCGUGCCUAACACAUGCAAGUCGAACGGAGUUCAUUGGAUUGAGGCUUCGGCCAAAUGAAUUUGAGCUUAGUGGCGAACGGGUGAGUAACGCGUGAGCAACCUGCCUUACACAGGGGGAUAACACUUAGAAAUAGGUGCUAAUACCGCAUAUGACCACAACCUAGCAUUAGGAAGGGGUGAAAGGAGUAAUCCGGUGUAAGAGGGGUUUGCGUCUCAUUAGCUAGUUGGUAGGGUAACGGCCUACCAAGGCGACGAUGAGUAGCCGAUCUGAGAGGGUGACCGGCCACACUGGAACUGAGAAACGGUCCAG